AUGUGGCUUUCCGGCAAGGUGAUGUUCACAGAGAACCAUGUCACCACUAUUAACGCGCUCCACAUCCCUAUGGCACUCGAGAUAGCGAGCGCUCAGACGACAGAUCAGAUCAGACAGAGGAGUUGGGGUUCGGCGGUCUUAGCGGCUACAUACCGAGGUAUGUGCAACGGUUGCCAGCUUACAUCGAGAAAGCCAGCCCUUCUUGGAUGCCCUCUAUUCCUACAGCUAUGGUCGUGGGAGAGGUUCUCUAUAGGGCGACCAGAUGUACGUGUUCGUGAGCCUAUAGACGCCAUGUUUGAUGCUGACGGCAUCGACAUGCCUACUUUCGGUCUGUGUUGGACACGUCGCGAGAGACGCUUUGCUAGUGAUCAGACCAGGAAGGCAUACACAUCAUUGAACGAGCAGUUCGAUGCGUACACCGGGGUCAUCUGGCAGCCCUACACGGAAGCAGCCAUACAAGCGAGAUACCCUGGUGGUCUGUCUGUGCUAUGCACAAGGGACCGAGAUUACUGGAUGACAAAAUCAAAAAUCAUCUUCGAUGUCUUUGUCGAGGAGAUGGCACAAUAG
rnacentral:rRNA from 1 species